CCUACGGGCGGCAGCAGUAAGGAAUAUUGGUCAAUGGACGCAAGUCUGAACCAGCCAUGCCGCGUGGAGGAUGAAGGUCCUCUGGAUUGUAAACUUCUUUUAUUUGGGAAGAAACUCCCGAUUUCCAUCGGGAUUGACGGUACCAGAUGAAUAAGCACCGGCUAACUCCGUGCCAGCAGCCGCGGUAAUACGGAGGGUGCCGGCGUUAUCCGGUUUCAAGGGUGCGAAGGGGGGAGUGUAAGGGCGUGGAGCAAUCUCCGGGCUUAACCCGGAAACUGCCAUUGAUACUAUUUGUCUUGAAUACUCUGGAGGUGAGCGGAAUAUGUCAUGUAGCGGUGAAAUGCUUAGAUAUGACAUAGAACACCCAUUGCGAAGGCAGCUCACUACGGAAAUAUUGACGCUGAGGCACGAAAGCGUGGGGAUCAAACAGGAUUAGAUACCCUUGUAGUC
rnacentral:rRNA from 1 species